rnacentral:misc_RNA from 1 species
UGGUUCUGGCAUCGAUGAAGAACGCAGCGAAAUGCGAUAAGUAAUGUGAAUUGCAGAAUUCAGUGAAUCAUCGAAUCUUUGAACGCACAUUGCGCCCGCCAGUAUUCUGGCGGGCAUGCCUGUUCGAGCGUCAUUUCAACCCUCGGGCCCCCCUAGGGGGGCGCGGUGUUGGGGGUUCCCGGCCCUGUGCCGCCCCCGAAAUGCAGUGGCGACCCCGCCGCGGCCUCUCCUGCGCAGUAACGCAAACGCUCGCAACGGGAGCCCGGAGGACGCGUCCGCCGUAAAACACCCAACUCUUAGAAGUUGACCUCGGAUCAGGUAGGGAUACCCGCUGA